rnacentral:tRNA from 1 species
GCUAUAAGAUUUGAUUUGCAAUCAAAUAUUAAUUAAAUUAUAUUUAAUAUAGUCUAA